rnacentral:rRNA from 1 species
CGACAGGCUUAACACAUGCAAGUCGAGGGGCAGCACAGGUAGCAAUACCGGGUGGCGACCGGCGCACGGGUGAGUAACGCGUAUGCAACUUACCUAUCAGAGGGGGAUAACCCGGCGAAAGUCGGACUAAUACCGCAUGAAGCAGGGGCCCCGCAUGGGGAUAUUUGCUAAAGAUUCAUCGCUGAUAGAUAGGCAUGCGUUCCAUUAGGCAGUUGGCGGGGUAACGGCCCACCAAACCGACGAUGGAUAGGGGUUCUGAGAGGAAGGUCCCCCACAUUGGUACUGAGACACGGACCAAACUCCUACGGGAGGCAGCAGUGAGGAAUAUUGGUCAAUGGCCGAGAGGCUGAACCAGCCAAGUCGCGUGAGGGAUGAAGGUUCUAUGGAUCGUAAACCUCUUUUAUAAGGGAAUAAAGUGCGGGACGUGUCCCGUUUUGUAUGUACCUUAUGAAUAAGGAUCGGCUAACUCCGUGCCAGCAGCCGCGGUAAUACGGAGGAUCCGAGCGUUAUCCGGAUUUAUUGGGUUUAAAGGGUGCGUAGGCGGCCUUUUAAGUCAGCGGUGAAAGUCUGUGGCUCAACCAUAGAAUUGCCGUUGAAACUGGGGGGCUUGAGUAUGUUUGAGGCAGGCGGAAUGCGUGGUGUAGCGGUGAAAUGCAUAGAUAUCACGCAGAACCCCGAUUGCGAAGGCAGCCUGCCAAGCCAUUACUGACGCUGAUGCACGAAAGCGUGGGGAUCAAACAGGAUUAGAUACCCUGGUAGUCCACGCAGUAAACGAUGAUCACUAGCUGUUUGCGAUACACUGUAAGCGGCACAGCGAAAGCGUUAAGUGAUCCACCUGGGGAGUACGCCGGCAACGGUGAAACUCAAAGGAAUUGACGGGGGCCCGCACAAGCGGAGGAACAUGUGGUUUAAUUCGAUGAUACGCGAGGAACCUUACCCGGGUUUGAACGCAUUCGGACCGAGGUGGAAACACCUUUUCUAGCAAUAGCCGUUUGCGAGGUGCUGCAUGGUUGUCGUCAGCUCGUGCCGUGAGGUGUCGGCUUAAGUGCCAUAACGAGCGCAACCCUUGCCACUAGUUACUAACAGGUGAUGCUGAGGACUCUGGUGGGACUGCCAGCGUAAGCUGCGAGGAAGGCGGGGAUGACGUCAAAUCAGCACGGCCCUUACAUCCGGGGCGACACACGUGUUACAAUGGCGUGGACAAAGGGAGGCCACCUGGCGACAGGGAGCGAAUCCCCAAACCACGUCUCAGUUCGGAUCGGAGUCUGCAACCCGACUCCGUGAAGCUGGAUUCGCUAGUAAUCGCGCAUCAGCCAUGGCGCGGUGAAUACGUUCCCGGGCCUUGUACACACCGCCCGUCAAGCCAUGGGAGCCGGGGGUACCUGAAGUCCGUAACCGAAAGGAUCGGCCUAGGGUAAAACUGGUGACUGGGGCUAAGUCGU